rnacentral:lncRNA from 1 species
CACGCCGUGAUGAGUUCUCUGACUCCAUCCACGGGUAGCCCUUUCCUACUCGAGCCCUCUCACCCUGCCCAAAUGCUAGGUCGGCUCUGAUACCAAAUGUCACGACCCGAGUCUGAUGAGCCAACUGGCCAAUAACUCCAUUUUGGUCCUUCAACCAUGAACCAAAAUGCUUAAGCGGGAGUUAACGUAGUACACUCAUCAG